rnacentral:rRNA from 1 species
GUCCACGCUGUAAACGAUGAAUGCUAGGUGUGGGGUGCAAACUUCCGUGCCGCAGUUAACACAAUAAGCAUUCCACCUGGGGAGUACGGCCGCAAGGUUGAAACUCAAAGGAAUUGACGGGAGCCCGCACAAGCAGUGGAGUAUGUGGUUUAAUUCGACGCAACGCGAAGAACCUUACCAGGGAUUGACAUCCCGAGAAUUCCGAGUAAUGUUGGAAGUGCCCUUCGGGGAACUCGGUGACAGGUGGUGCAUGGUUGUCGU